UACGUAGGGGGCAAGCGUUGUUCGGAAUGACUGGGCGCAAAGGGUGCGUAGGCGGUGUAGCAAGUUAGAAGUGAAAUACCUAGAGCUUAACUCAGGUGCUGCUUCUAAAACUGCUAUACUUGAGUGCAGUAGAGGAAAGUGGAAUUCCUAGUGUAGCGGUGGAAUGCGUAGAUAUUAGGAGGAACAUCAGUGGCGAAGGCGACUUUCUGGACUGUAACUGACGCUGAGGCACGAAAGUGUGGGGAGCAAACAGG
rnacentral:rRNA from 1 species